rfam:Kangiella geojedonensis strain YCS-5, complete genome.
UUGAGCUGAAGAGUGAGCAAGUCAUAGUAAUUCAAAACAGGACGUUUUGAAUAGUGGCAUACAAGCCAUGGAUGGAAUGUAUGUCACGGUACGUUAAGUGACUUGGUUACUUUGAAGGAA